rnacentral:rRNA from 1 species
GAUGUACGCUGGCGGCGUGCCUAAUACAUGCAAGUCGAGCGAACGGACGAGAAGCUUGCUUCUCUGAUGUUAGCGGCGGACGGGUGAGUAACACGUGGAUAACCUACCUAUAAGACUGGGAUAACUUCGGGAAACCGGAGCUAAUACCGGAUAAUAUUUUGAACCGCAUGGUUCAAAAGUAAAAGACGGUCUUGCUGUCACUUAUAGAUGGAUCCGCGCUGCAUUAGCUAGUUGGUAAGGUAACGGCUUACCAAGGCAACGAUGCAUAGCCGACCUGAGAGGGUGAUCGGCCACACUGGAACUGAGACACGGUCCAGACUCCUACGGGAGGCAGCAGUAGGGAAUCUUCCGCAAUGGGCGAAAGCCUGACGGAGCAACGCCGCGUGAGUGAUGAAGGUCUUCGGAUCGUAAAACUCUGUUAUUAGGGAAGAACAUAUGUGUAAGUAACUGUGCACAUCUUGACGGUACCUAAUCAGAAAGCCACGGCUAACUACGUG